rnacentral:lncRNA from 1 species
CCCCAGGGCUCCCUCCAUCGGGCAGUUUCCUCCUAAGGAUCUCCCCGACAGGGCCGCCCCUACAUGUGGCUCCCAGCUUGAGAGGCAUCGAGGAAGGAGAGGCAGCCGGCACUCAGCUGGGACCCACUGUCAGACACAUGAAUAUGGCCCAGUUGGACCUUCAACCUGAGCUGACCCUCCAACAGAAAUUCACUGCACGAACAAGACCAGGGUUGAUCAGGAGAUACCAACUAUCCACCUAAUGCCAGCACCUACAGUGAUAAAGAUUGUGGAUUCAAGCCAGUUAGGUGUUAGGAUGGCACAGCCCAAAGUCACAUAGCUGCACAGUGAGAGAUACACACACACUCCAAAAUGAACAAAAAUCGGAAUCCCCCGCGAUGUUGUCAAAGGGCAGCAGAAUGGUUACAUACUCGAUGCUCAGGUCACUGGGGAGAAUAGAUUGAAGAUCCUACAAAUUAUGACUGCACAGUGGUGUGGGAGGCAUGGAGAUAUGUCUGCUGGGUUCUGAUAGUGAGCAAGGAACGGUAGGAAACAUCUUAGAGAGGGUGGACUCCCUCUUAGCAAAGGACACCAGAUCCCUUCGAAGACGAUACAUGGUGAAAUCUGUCCUCCUCUCUUUCUAUUUUUGGUUUUAUAGCGGAAACCGGUAAUUACUGUCCCUGCUCAUAGGGGGAUUGCUAUUCCGAGGUUUAUAGAGAGUUGUGUUGUGGGCGUAAAUGAGUGAGGUAAUAGUCCAAGUAGAUUAGUUGAGCCAAUAAAUAGAAUUAGUGAUAUAAGUAUGAGAGCUCAGGUUUGUCCUUUUUGGUUAUGAAUAGAUAAUAUUUGUUUGGAUGUUAGCUGAAUUAAUCAUUGCUGGAUGGAGAUUAGGUGAUUGUUAGCUAGGUGAUUAGAUGAGGGAAAUAAGAUACAUAGGAAUAUAACAAUUAGUAUUACAAUAGGGAGACCUAUUAUUGAGGGGGCAGCGAAAGAAGCGAAUAGAUUUUCGUUCAUUUGUUUUCUCAAGGAGUGAGUUGGUUAGUUGGCUUUACUGUUUUUGGUUCUGGAUUUUCUGGGUAGUAGUGUUUUGAAAUUUUUAAUUGGAAUAUAAUGAGUAGAGUUCAAAUUAUGGAUAGAGUUGUAAUAAAUCAGGUAGAUGUGUCUAGUUGUGGCAUUUCAUUAAGGAGAGACUUAAACUCUCAGUCUUUAACUUAAAAGGUUAAUGCUUUAUAGCUUCUUAAUGAUUUAGACUGGUUUAUAUUAUACUACUAGGGCAGAUCAGGUUUCGAAGUAUGAUAGGGGGACUAUUUCAAGAACAAUAGGUAUAAAGCUAUGGUUGGAUCCGCAGAUUU